UUUGCUUCUGCAUUAUCUGUUUUGUCUGAGUUCCUUUUUUCUGUUUACUUUGAUUUUUUUUUUAUUAUAGAGAUUUUUCUCAAAUAUCUCAUGAUCUAAAAUGAUGAUUGGGAACUCCAUAUGAGUGAGUGAGGGCUAUCAUUUGGUGGGCUUCACUAUAGGAUAAUCUGGUAUGAACCUGACUGUUUCACUGGGCGAAUGCCUCAAUAUCUGUAGGUCAGUAUCUGUAGGUCUUUUUUCCUUGGCCUCGUGAGUUUUCUUAGGGAGGAAUCCUCUAAUCUCCUGCCUGGGUGAAGCUGACUGGGAGAGAGGUUGGGGAAUGGUCACCCUAUUCAGGAUGCAGAUUUUUACUUAGUCCACCUAAUUUUAAUAUGAUGGUCACUCUGGCCUUAACUGCACCUGGUAAAUGAGUUUAGAAUCUCUUAGGUCUGUUGUCUUUAGAUAAUACAAUUUAUUAUCCUUUGUCAGGGGUAAGGAGAGGAAACUGUGGCUGUAAAAAGUCGGGAAGGGGCUCUACAGGUAAAAUGUUCCUUUUAAAGACUUUAUACCCAAUCUCUUCUUUCUAGACCCAUACUGCUUUUAGAAGUACCGUGUGUCUCCUUUUAGAAGUACGAUGUGUGUCCAAUUUCUGAUCCUUUCCAAGGUUCUAUGCCCUGGAUCAUUUGGCAUCUUAAUAUCUUGUGCUAUAAGCUUGUUUUUCGAGCUUUUAUUGCUCUAAUGAGGCUAUUAAGUACUCAGAACCCAUUUUCCUAGCUUCCAAAAUUUUGAAAUUUCUUUUCUCUUGUUCUUUUUCUAAAAAAUCCUAGUGGUUUAUACAUUAAAAUCUCUAAUUGUUGUUUUACCUAUCAUUUUAUUGGAAUUUUGAGAGGAUACCAAAAUAAAUGUAUAUGUUUAAUCUGCAAGUUAAAAUCCAUGACCCAUAUUUAUCUGUAGGCAGACUGACAGAAGCUUAUUGGCCUACUUUUUGUUAAAAAGCCAAAUCUGCUUUUUAAGAAUAGUUGGGUCUUUUACAAAAAGAUCAAGAGAGAGAGAAAAUUAAUUUAGCUAGGCAAAAAUAGAGGGUUUAGUGAGAAUGAUUAUGUGAUAUCUGUGUGAAAAUAAUCUGAGAACAAUUGUAAAAUAUUUCAGUCAAAUUUCAUCCUUUUUUUUUUUUCCUUUUUUUUUGGCUGCAUUGCGCAUGGCAUCUACGUAGGAUCUUAGUUUCCCGACCAGGAGUCAAACCGGCAGCCCCUGCAGUGGAAGUGGGGAGUCUUAACCACUGAACGACCAGGGAAGUCCCAAAUUUAAUCUUUUAUUGAGCUGCUUCUACUCAACUGGCUUCAAAGAGGAAGUCAUUUUUUCCCAUGUAAUCAUGAAAAUACAGUGUAUACAUAAAAGUGGUAUUUGUUUGGAAGGAAAGGCAGUAAAGUGAAAAAAAAAUCUCUUAAUUCUUUUGCUAUAACUUUCUGGGAUUUAGAUGUUGCCUCUUUUCUGAUAAGAAAGAAACAUGAUAUAAUCUAAUAAAAAAGUAAUAGAUCCAGUGAUAUAGUGGAUUAUGUAACCCUAUAACCCUGGCACUAUUACUACUCAGAAAUGCUAGAUUAAAUAUAAGAAGCAAACUUUUAAAUGCAUAACUGAUCUUGGAAGAAAGUAAGAGUAAGGCCAAGUGCAGGAACCUAGGAAAGCAGUGAGAAGUUGCACUGAUGGUGCAGCUCCUCUGGAUUUGGGAAGGUGAUGAUGUUGGCCUCUGCCAUGCAGGCAGGGCUUAGGAUUUAGUGCUCACAGCGGGCUAACCUUUGGGCUCACGUGAGGAAAGCAAUGAAACUACUCAAUUUCCAUCCUUCCUGUUAACUAGGCUCAAAGCUUUGGAGUCUUCCUUGACUCUCUCUCACCUCAUGGCCAAUCUGUCAGCAACUCUAAUUCGCUCCACCUUCAGAAUAUAUCCAGAAUCCAACCACUUCUCAUCACCUAUAUUGCAGUCAAUAUUCAUUUAGUGUUACCUACACCUUUACCACUAUCUAUAGUUCCUUUAGAAUUUCCUUUAGUGAUAAACUUCCAGAUGUGAUAAAGACAGCCAGCUAUCCACUGAAGACUUUGAGUUCCCCUUCCAUAAUGUAGAGUUGUUGCUGGCAAGAGACUGUCCAAUCACAGACCCCAUUUCUCAGGUCCUUCACCCCACCCCUUGCUGUGUCCCCUCUCUACCCCAUGUACCUAUGCAAAGCUAUAAGACUAAUUCCUACCAAUAGAUUGUGAGUAGAAAUGAUGGGUGUCACUUUUGGGCUGAACUGGCUCAAAGCAAAUGUGCUUCUUCCACUCCCUGUUUAACCAGCUGCCACCUGAAAUUGAAAGAUUCUGAGGGGCCAAAGGCAAUGACAGAGUCACAAAAUGGAAAAAACUUGGGUUUCUGGAUUACCCUGUGGAAGUUUGCUCACUGAAAGCCUGCCUUAUACUGUUAUACAACCGAGAAAUUAACCUCUGUCGAGUUAAAACACUGAAAACUUGAGACUAUAUAAACUGAUGUGACAUCUUUUUCCUGCUAUAAAAACGAUGUAGAGGAUUGCUUUGUUUAAUUUGUUUGAAUCAAAAUCCAAAUAAGGACCACACAUUGCAAUUGAUAUACCUUCUAAGUCCUUUUAUUGGUAAGUUUCCCUCUCCUUUUUUUCCCUUGCAAUUUAUUUGUUGACUAACCUGUGUGUUUCUUAAUGUAAGAAACCCUUCUGUUACACAAAUAACCACUUUCUACUUUAAUGGGCUUUAAAAUUUGCAUUGUUUUAUAAUUAUUCUUUUAAUAUUUUAGUUGCAUUUCAAUAAUUUUUGAUAAAGCCAUAGUUUGGUGACAUAGGAUUAUCUCACCAAGUGUCCCAGUAUGCUUUUGCUUUUGGCAGUUUGUCUCAAGGGCAAUGAUCCUAUGACUUAGAGCACUGUUUGGGUAU